GGGUGGCGUGGUUGGUCCUGGUAGUUGUGGUCGUGCUGACCGUAUUCACCACGGUCCUGGGUCUGAUCUACAGGAGGACACGCUGCUGCCCAAAGGAGCCCAGGGUGUAUCCAGUCAGUGUGUUCCAGACCAGAGGAUUCAACAUGGACCUCCCUCAUGUCUCUGUUUCACUACAUCACUCCUCAGAGCUGCUGCUCUGUGGAUACAGGACUACCCACUGGACAGGCCUGUUGUCACCUAUUCAUGAAGAGAAUACUGCAGAGGAGGAGCCUCAUCAGGGUUACUAUGGUAAUGAAACAGCGCUCCACCACCGCGGCCACCCUCUCCCCUCAUCCCUUUCUCCUGAAGAGCUCUAGAUGAACAGAGCAGAAGACAGGAACAACAAGACAUUUCUCCCUUUUAACGUCUUGACUUUUUUUUUUUGUAUUAACAAAUGAAUGGGGUCCCUGAAUGGGGUCCCUGAAUGGGGAACCCUGAAUGGGGUCCCUGAAUGGGGUCCCUGAAUGGGGAACCCUGAAUGGGGUCCAUGAAUGGGGUCCCUGAAUGGGGAACCCUGAAUGCGGAACCCUGAAUGGGGUCCCUGAAUGGGGAACCCUGAAUGGGGUCCCUGAAUGGGGUCCCUGAAUGGGGAACCCUGAAUGGGGUCCCUGAAUGGGGUCCCUGAAUGCUGCCUUGAUGGUGUGGGAGCUGGGGGGGGGGGUUAUUAACAUCCUCCUGGGUCCUGGAAAUCCUCAAAAGUCCCCACAAGGACAGUAAAACAAGGACAUUUCUCCCUCGUGGGGAUAUUUCCCAGGUCCCCACGAGGACAAAGGUUAUUUUAGAUUUACGAUUAGGGAAAAUAGGACUUUUUUAUGGAAAUACAUUGUGUGUGUGUGUGUGUGUGUGUGUGUGUGUGUAGUGUGUGUGCGUGUGCGUGUGUGUGUGUGUGUGUAGUGUGUGUGUGUGUGUGUGUGUGUAGUGUGUGUGUAGUGUGUGUGUA